ensembl:lncRNA
AAUUACUAUAUGUGGUAUCAGGAAGACAAAAUCAGUAGUUAUAUGGGACCCUAAAUUUAUACUAGAUAACUUAACAACAAUACAUAAUAAAGCAGCAGUUAAAUUCUAAAUUUACUGCAGUGAAUUGAAGAUUAAAGUACUGUAUAUUGUAUUAGUGUACUGUGAUGGUUAAUGUUACCCAAUGCAUUUGCUUCUCGUAUAGUUAAUUAUAAUUUUGUCAUUCUGUAUACUUAUUGCCCCUGUUUUCUGGACCCCUUGUGUAGGUCAGGCAGCUUUUAACCACAAGACAUUUCAAGAUAUUUUCCAUAUGUCUCGUCGGAGCUUUAACAAAACAAAAACCAUGUAGCAUGCUCAGAUCUCCAGUGAUUAAAACAAACAUGCAUAAACGAGUAUGUAGAAGUUUGGAGACUAUUCCACAGUCGAUCAGUUCUUGCCACCCACCAAGCAAGUGUGCUGUGGAUUAUUGGGAUAUGGAGCAGGAUUUGACACAGAAAAGCCCCACUGAAUUCUCCACCCCUCGUAUUAUGAAAGAAAAAACACAUGACAUGAUACUUCAAGAUAAUGAAACCAGAACUGCUGCCCAAACUUGCCUAAGAUGUAUGGCUGGAGAACCUGGGCACUUUGGCCAUAUUAUGAGUUUAUAGGAUAUCAAAGGAUAUGCAUUGAUACUCCAGAACAAAAAAAAGUUUCAAGCUUCUCUUGAGUUCCUAGAUUUUUCUACACCCCUCUGAAAUUGUAUAUAUGUAAUGUACAUAAGAUCUCUUGUGGGUUUUUUUAAUGUUCUCACUAGAACCUCAUUUUGUUUACCUUUUAUAUAAUUUAAAAUAUGUUUUCAAAGCACUGCUCAGCUUAGCGAUUCUCCCACUUUCAACAUGUGUACAAGAGAUAUAUAUUCAUGAAUGUGGGUUAACUGCAGGCAGACAAAAAAGUGGAGACUGGUAUUUUUACUUCUUGUGCAUGUAUGUUGUGAAUAUGUAAAAUUACAUAAUUAUUGAAAUUCAUGGAGAUGGUGACAGUGUGAAACAAAUGUGGUGAAUGUCCCAAAACUGAACAGUUUUCUCCACUAUUAAAAUACCCAGCUGGCUGGGUAGCUCAGUGGGUUGAAGUUUAGACUGCAGAGCCAAUGCUUGUGAAUUCAAUUCUUGACUGUGCCUUGUAGGAUAUACAGAGUGCCCCCCCCCCCGUAGAAGGGAAUGUACCCCUUCUGAGUACUCCAUAGAAAGAAAACCAGAAUUGACUUUACUACACAUAUUUGUUAACUACUAAGAUACACACACUUAGAGUUGCAUUUAGUUGAUAGUAUUCAUCAGUAUAUAUCUGCAUCUUCAGUAAUGCUGCAUGUGAACCAUGUAUUUUGAAAAUACCAUAAAAUGUUCACAGUACUUCUGAAGUUAUUUCAAAGCACAUAAUCACAUUUUUCUCUCUUCUUUAAGGCAAAUUUGUAGAAUGCACUGCCUCCUAGGAAGCACUGAACUGUAAAGGUAUUUCCCUUUCAGCUGGUGAAAUACAUGAUGUAAAGUCCCUUUGCAGCGAUUGAGACUCAAAAUGUACCUUUGUCACUGCUUUGGCAUAUUCUUGUUAGGAAUUUGACAGACCAUCUCUGUGGCUUGAAAUAGAUCCUUUUUCCCUUCUUUAUUUUCUAAAUAAUCUUGAAAGCUUGAGUGCCACUUGGUCUGCCCACCACCAUGUCCAAAUAUUUUUAUCAUAGCAGUCUGCCCACCACCAUGUCCAAAUAUUUUUACACAGGAAAUGAAGUUUUGGCCUGAUUAUCCUCAUAGAUUCUGGUUGGAUAGCUGGAUGAGUUAGGUACCUAUUUCAAGCCACAGGUGGAGUCUGUCAAGUUCCUAACAAGAAUAUGCCAGCAAAUAUGAAAAAUAAAACAAUGACUCACUAACUGGCA